rnacentral:rRNA from 1 species
GGGGAAUAUUGGGCAAUGGGCGAAAGCCUGACCCAGCAACGCCGCGUGAAGGAAGAAGGCCCUCGGGUUGUAAACUUCUUUUAUCAGGGACGAAACAAAUGACGGUACCUGAUGAAUAAGCCACGGCUAACUACGUGCCAGCAGCCGCGGUAAUACGUAGGUGGCAAGCGUUAUCCGGAUUUACUGGGUGUAAAGGGCGUGUAGGCGGGAGUGCAAGUCAGAUGUGAAAACUAUGGGCUCAACCCAUAGCCUGCAUUUGAAACUGUACUUCUUGAGUGAUGGAGAGGCAGGCGGAAUUCCCUGUGUAGCGGUGAAAUGCGUAGAUAUUGGGAGGAACACCGGUGGCGUAUGCGGCUUGCUGGACAGUAACUGACGCUGAGGCGCGAAAGCCAGGGGAGCAAACG